ACAGGACAGGGUCCACUUCAGGAAGUGGUUUGCCUAGGUUCAGGCAGAGCACGACAACGACUCCUGAACAUUCAUUCUACAUCUCAAAGGCUAUGGUGGAAGUGACUCCAGAAUAUGUACAUUAGGACAGGAUAAAUUAUGUUCUCAAGAAUAAUUCCUUUCUUUGUAUUUCCAUUUGAAGUUAAAGACUGUGUCGUUGUGCUUUUCUUUCUUUUAAGUAUUACUAGAGAAAGAAUGAGAAACAGCAUCUAAAUCAUCACCACCAUCACCAUCAUCACCAUGAUCAUCAUCACAAAGCUGAGAACACAAGUAUCUCUCUCCCUGAGACUCCAGGCUUACCAGUUGUGCUAGGUUGGCUGACUGGAAGGAUGACUGGUUAUACCAAAUGGAGGAGAGGAACCAGAAGAAGAAAGGACGACUAUGCAUUUCCUGCCUGAGGGAGACAUUCCACUCAUGUGUUUAGGCCUCCCCAUGGGCCUGUUUCUCCCAUCUCGGAAUCUAGGGUCACCCCUUCCAUCCUCCAAAGUGACAUGUUCCAGGAGUGUCAGAACUCUGUUUUAUCCAUUCUGUUGUAUGAUUGGGAGGAGAGUUGAGCAUUUUGCCUCAGAUGUGCAUGUAUAUUCUUGAUUUAUCAAGCACACAUCUUCCUUGCUGCCGUUUUGCAUGGGUGCUCUCCAAAGCUUUCUAGGACAGAACAAGUGGGAGUUCCACUUUCUGAGAUCUUGUCUGUGUAAAGUUUAACUGUUUCUUUAUGUGUGAUAACAGAGUGUGAACAUGUGAAAUAAGAUGGGAAAAGAACAUAUGUAACAGCCCAGAGGCAAGAGAGUGGGAUAUUUUAGAUCUGAGAAGGAAGUGUCACAGGUCUGUAUUAACCAAACAAUAAAAUAUUGGACCACAGCACUAAAUUCUCAAGAAGACAACUUGAAAUGAAUGCAAAAGAAGUCAUUUGAGGCAAACAUUAACCCAGAGAUUUAUAAAAGAAACAGGGCAACUUAGACGAGCCUUCUCUGUGCCAUCUUUCUGGGUUAGAGACAAUACCAUCAGUGAUACUCACAGCCUAAACCAAAGUUGUAACAACAGAAAGGUACCGUGAAGAAAAAAAAAAGUGACUCAGAAAGAUUCACCUGAUGCCUUCCCACACUUUCCACGUGAGACCAUGUGACUGCAGCAUCAUGAGGUAACAUCCAUGUCUACUGAAGGAGAUGUUCAUUUGGCUGACUUGGGAGUAGGAACGGGGAGGACUGUGAAGAGGGCCCGAGUCACUAUGAGAUUACAAUGAAUGGGAGCCCAUCUCUUCCCACUCCUUUCUAAAGCAUGGCUGACUUUAAUGCCUGGACAUCAUCAUCUGGUUCCCUGAACUCUCUCUGGCUAACGAAGCACACUUGGUACUUAUUUUAACUAAAAGGGAAGUUAAAUCUUUCCUUUCAUGUAAGUCUGCACAUGCAGGGUAUCUGCCCACACAUUCUACCACCUCACUAGUUUAUGAGAUGUUCGAGUUUCCUUAUGUCAGUAUACCUAAAGAAAAUACCAAAGGCAAAUAUGUAAAACAAUAAAUAGCAUAGGAAGGAAGUUAUCAAAAUAUAGGAGAAAUGCAGGGCAUAAAUGCAGGAUCGAUUUAAUUGUUUAGUUUUCCUUUUCCUAAUAUCAAAGGCAUAACUAAAGCAAGGUGCUUUGGCUUAUAUUUGAAAAUAUAAACAAAAAUAAGAUUGCAAGGUAAGGCAUAGAGGUAGGGAGACUAAAAAUCAGCUAAGACAACCGAGGGCUCCUGGAGGAGGAAGAGUCAGGGCUCUUCAGGGAUGCAGCCUGUUAUGGGUUGCCUGUGCUCAAUGGAUGGCCCCACCUCUCUGCUGAAUAUGCCAGACCUAACUGUUCUCAGUGAGUUAUAAAGGAGAAAGAAAUAAAAAGAGGAGACCAUGACAUUGAAAGAGGACAGGAUGGGUUCUAGGAAAAGCUGAGCAGGGUGGGGUAAAUAUCAAAAUAUUUUAUGUCCAUGUAUGACAGUCUCAAAAACUAGACAAAAUUAAAUUUAAAAAAUUCAGCCAAGCCCUCCAGGACAGUGCUCUAUGAACUGCAGUAUUGAAUUAAUUGCUGGCAUCCUAUUAAAAGGGAAAUUUUCAAUACUCUUGUUACAUAACCCUUCAUUAGCAGCUUAGAGUCUUGGUGAGCUUUCUGGAUAAAUGUUUAUGUGAUAAGAACAGUAUCCGACUAUUAUUCACAGGAGAUAAUAAAGAGCUGACUAAUCCCACAUUUAGUGAGGAGAGGGAACACUUCCUCAGCCAGGAAGGCAAAGCUUCAUUGGGUGAAUUUAACCAGUGAUCAGCCAGUUUGCCAAAAUGAGGCAAAUGAUCAUAAAACUAGCUUCAAACAAUUUACACCCAAAGUUUAAGUGCAAAGACCAGUACUGUUAAGUAUUAAAAAUUCAAAAUAUUGAAAUAUUCUAUCCUCAGUAUGCUCCACAAAUAUGCAUAAGCGCUACAUGCAUAGUUUCUGGUGUGUUAAUAUCAUUUAUAAGCAGGCUUUGUAGUGAAUAACUUCCUUUCUCUCCCAUUGGGAAGAAAUGGAAAUUAUAACAGAAUAUUGGAUGGUCAUUUUCUUUCAAACUUUAAGUUUUUAUCUGAUUAUUAAAGUAAUAUACAUUGGUUUACCUAAUAAUCACAAGUGGAUAGGAGCAGUAAUAAAAUCCUCAUUAACAUCUUGGCAUAUUUAUUAUCAUUUUCCUUGAUCACUUUAUGACUGAAAUAAAAUAUGUAAAUUCUAGUGCCU
ensembl:lincRNA Gm26544 predicted gene, 26544